rnacentral:rRNA from 10 species
UUUUAUGGAGAGUUUGAUCCUGGCUCAGGAUGAACGCUGGCGGCGUGCCUAAUACAUGCAAGUCGAGCGAACAGACAAGGAGCUUGCUCCUUUGACGUUAGCGGCGGACGGGUGAGUAACACGUGGGUAACCUACCUAUAAGACUGGGAUAACUUCGGGAAACCGGAGCUAAUACCGGAUAAUAUUUCGAACCGCAUGGUUCGAUAGUGAAAGAUGGUUUUGCUAUCACUUAUAGAUGGACCCGCGCCGUAUUAGCUAGUUGGUAAGGUAACGGCUUACCAAGGCGACGAUACGUAGCCGACCUGAGAGGGUGAUCGGCCACACUGGAACUGAGACACGGUCCAGACUCCUACGGGAGGCAGCAGUAGGGAAUCUUCCGCAAUGGGCGAAAGCCUGACGGAGCAACGCCGCGUGAGUGAUGAAGGUCUUCGGAUCGUAAAACUCUGUUAUUAGGGAAGAACAUACGUGUAAGUAACUAUGCACGUCUUGACGGUACCUAAUCAGAAAGCCACGGCUAACUACGUGCCAGCAGCCGCGGUAAUACGUAGGUGGCAAGCGUUAUCCGGAAUUAUUGGGCGUAAAGCGCGCGUAGGCGGUUUUUUAAGUCUGAUGUGAAAGCCCACGGCUCAACCGUGGAGGGUCAUUGGAAACUGGAAAACUUGAGUGCAGAAGAGGAAAGUGGAAUUCCAUGUGUAGCGGUGAAAUGCGCAGAGAUAUGGAGGAACACCAGUGGCGAAGGCGACUUUCUGGUCUGUAACUGACGCUGAUGUGCGAAAGCGUGGGGAUCAAACAGGAUUAGAUACCCUGGUAGUCCACGCCGUAAACGAUGAGUGCUAAGUGUUAGGGGGUUUCCGCCCCUUAGUGCUGCAGCUAACGCAUUAAGCACUCCGCCUGGGGAGUACGACCGCAAGGUUGAAACUCAAAGGAAUUGACGGGGACCCGCACAAGCGGUGGAGCAUGUGGUUUAAUUCGAAGCAACGCGAAGAACCUUACCAAAUCUUGACAUCCUUUGACAACUCUAGAGAUAGAGCCUUCCCCUUCGGGGGACAAAGUGACAGGUGGUGCAUGGUUGUCGUCAGCUCGUGUCGUGAGAUGUUGGGUUAAGUCCCGCAACGAGCGCAACCCUUAAGCUUAGUUGCCAUCAUUAAGUUGGGCACUCUAAGUUGACUGCCGGUGACAAACCGGAGGAAGGUGGGGAUGACGUCAAAUCAUCAUGCCCCUUAUGAUUUGGGCUACACACGUGCUACAAUGGACAAUACAAAGGGCAGCGAAACCGCGAGGUCAAGCAAAUCCCAUAAAGUUGUUCUCAGUUCGGAUUGUAGUCUGCAACUCGACUACAUGAAGCUGGAAUCGCUAGUAAUCGUAGAUCAGCAUGCUACGGUGAAUACGUUCCCGGGUCUUGUACACACCGCCCGUCACACCACGAGAGUUUGUAACACCCGAAGCCGGUGGAGUAACCAUUUGGAGCUAGCCGUCGAAGGUGGGACAAAUGAUUGGGGUGAAGUCGUAACAAGGUAGCCGUAUCGGAAGGUGCGGCUGGAUCACCUCCUUUCUAA